rnacentral:rRNA from 1 species
UACGGGAGGCAGCAGUGGGGAAUUUUGGACAAUGGGGGCAACCCUGAUCCAGCAAUGCCGCGUGAGUGAAGAAGGCCUUCGGGUUGUAAAGCUCUUUUGUCAGGGAAGAAACGGUGUGAGCUAAUAUCUCGUGCUAAUGACGGUACCUGAAGAAUAAGCACCGGCUAAUUACGUGCCAGCAGCCGCGGUAAUACGUAGGGUGCAAGCGUUAAUCGGAAUUACUGGGCGUAAAGCGUGCGCAGGCGGUUUUGUAAGACUGUCGUGAAAUCCCCGGGCUCAACCUGGGAAUGGCGAUGGUGACUGCAAGGCUAGAGUUUGGCAGAGGGGGGUAGAAUUCCACGUGUAGCAGUGAAAUGCGUAGAUAUGUGGAGGAACACCGAUGGCGAAGGCAGCCCCCUGGGUCAAAACUGACGCUCAUGCACGAAAGCGUGGGGAGCAAACAGGAUUAGAUACCCUGGUAGUCCACGCCCUAAACGAUGUCUACUAGUUGUCGGGUUUUAAUU